GACGAACGCUGGCGGCGUGCCUAAUACAUGCAAGUUGAGCGAUGAAGCUUGGUGCUUGCACCAAUUUGAAGAGCAGCGAACGGGUGAGUAACGCGUGGGGAAUCUGCCUUUGAGCGGGGGACAACAUUUGGAAACGAAUGCUAAUACCGCAUAACAACUUUAAACAUAAGUUUUAAGUUUGAAAGAUGCAAUUGCAUCACUCAAAGAUGAUCCCGCGUUGUAUUAGCUAGUUGGUGAGGUAAAGGCUCACCAAGGCGAUGAUACAUAGCCGACCUGAGAGGGUGAUCGGCCACAUUGGGACUGAGACACGGCCCAAACUCCUACGGGAGGCAGCAGUAGGGAAUCUUCGGCAAUGGACGAAAGUCUGACCGAGCAACGCCGCGUGAGUGAAGAAGGUUUUCGGAUCGUAAAACUCUGUUGGUAGAGAAGAACGUUGGUGAGAGUGGAAAGCUCAUCAAGUGACGGUAACUACCCACAAAGGGACGGCUAACUACGUG
rnacentral:rRNA from 1 species